rnacentral:lncRNA from 1 species
UUGCCAUUGCUAGCUACUCCUGACUUUUAAAACUGGAACCUACAUAUGGAUGGAGGCUGAAGCUGACGUAGCAUCUCUGAACAGACGCAUCCAGCUGGUUGAGGAGGAGUUGGAUCGCGCUCAGGAGCGUCUGGCCACAGCUCUACAGAAGCUGGAGGAGGCUGAGAAGGCUGCAGAUGAGAGUGAGAGAGGCAUGAAAGUCAUUGAAAGCCGAGCCCAAAAAGAUGAAGAAAAGAUGGAGAUUCAGGAGAUCCAGCUGAAAGAGGCCAAGCACAUUGCUGAAGAUGCUGACCGAAAGUAUGAAGAGGUGGCCCGUAAGCUGGUCAUCAUCGAGAGCGAUCUGGAGCGUGCGGAGGAGAGGGCUGAGCUCUCGGAAGGCCAAGUUCGACAGCUGGAAGAACAGUUAAGAAUAAUGGAUCAGACCUUGAAAGCAUUAAUGGCUGCAGAGGAUAAGUACUCUCAGAAAGAAGACAAGUAUGAAGAGGAGAUCAAGGUUCUCUCUGACAAGCUGAAGGAGGCUGAGACCCGGGCUGAGUUUGCAGAGAGAUCAGUAACCAAAUUGGAGAAAAGCAUUGAUGACUUAGAAGAGAAAGUGGCACAUGCCAAAGAAGAAAACCUUAGUAUGCACCAGAUGCUGGACCAGACUUUACUGGAGCUAAACAACAUGUGAAACCCUCCUUAGCUGCGGCCACAUUCUCUCGUUUCCCCCUGUUGUUUUAUUUUGUCUUUAAACACAUGCUUACC